UAACGAAUCUUCCGCAAUGCGCGAAAGCGUGACGGAGCAAUGCCGCGUGCAGGAUGAAGCCUCUCGGGGUGUAAACUGCUGUCAGGGUUUAGCAACACAAUGAGCAGACCCAAAGGAAGGGCCGGCUAACUUCGUGCCAGCAGCCGCGGUAAUACGAAGGGCCCGAGCGUUGCGCGGACUCAUUGGGCUUAAAGCGUACGUAGGCGGGUUGACAGGCGUCUUGUGAAAUCCCUCGGCUCAACCGAGGAACUGCUUGACGAACCGUCAGCCUUGAGGCAGGUAGGGGCGGUCGGAACGAUAGGUGGAGUGGUGAAAUGCGUUGAUAUCUAUCGGAACGCCGAAGGAGAAAUCAGGCCGCUGGGCCUGUCCUGACGCUGAGGUACGAAAGCGUGGGUAGCGAACGGGAUUAGAUACCCCCGUAGUCC
rnacentral:rRNA from 1 species